GCGGAGGAGCAACUCUGUGUCCAGCUUAGAGAACUGGAAGAAGCCGCAACCUUCCACCUGCUGGAGGGUGGAGGAUGGAUGGAGCCUGGAGCCUGGGUCACUACCUCGCUGCGGUUGGUAGUGGCGAUAGAGCAGUAGGAGAGCGGUCAGCAGCAGGAGCUUCUCCUGCCAGGCUGGAGGACUAGAAGGAAGAGGCACUGCCACAUGCUGGAGGCUGGAACCUGUGCCACCAUGGCUUGCCUCGCUGUGGUUGGUGGUGACGUCGGAGACUGCAGCUUAGCCACAGUGGUAGAAACGUGAUGGGGUAGCUGCUCCAAGCCAGGCUGAAGGAGGAGAAGGAGGAGUCGCCUGUGGUACGGUGGAGCAGAUGACGUGGCUCUGCAGCUUGCCUCAUGCAGUUGGUGGUGGAGAUGGAGACCACAGCUCGACUGGAGCGAGUAUUGUCAUCUGCAUGAGCAAAGGGUUCAUCACCACAUCUUUGCAAGAGGAAAAAGAAAGGGGAAGAAUCAUGUGUCUAAUGUUGUAAGGGUCUUGCUCUGUCACCCAGGCUGCAGCGAUGGAAUGAUCAUAGCUCACUGCAGACUUGACCUCCUGUGCUCAAAUGAUACUCCUGCUCAAAUCAGCCUAGGUUCAUAUGAGUCUCCCAAGCAGCAAGGAUUCAGCUUCAAGUUUUGAUGGCUUAUUUUCGUAUAUGUAAGUUAUAUUCUUUAAAUGUUGAUGUCAAAUCUAUUAAACUUUUUUAUUAUAGUCA
ensembl:lncRNA CCDC144NL CCDC144A N-terminal like (pseudogene)